GCGUUCGUGGUGUAGUGGUCAGCACGCUAGACGCGUAACCGAGAGGUCCGUGGUUCGAUUCCCGGCGAAGGCG
rfam:Stegodyphus mimosarum contig126291, whole genome shotgun sequence.